GGAUCAUGACCGUUUAAUAGACGGCCGAGAGUGAAAGCUAUAGUGCCGAGCCCAAUUUCUUUCAAUCCUCACCAUCCAUGAGAUUUUCCUUAUCUUGUACUAUAUCUAAAAUGUUUGGCAAUUGCUUUUGCUUUUGCAUGCAUGUACGCAAAUGUUUGGCAAUUGUUUGGCAAUUGCUUUUGCAUGCAUGUAUGCAAAGCUUAUACUGAAACCCAGUCUAAACAUGGAUCAGGAUAAUUCUAGGCCGACUCAUUCAACCAUACCUUUCGCAGUAGUGGCUGAUUCUGAUAAGAUGCCUGAUUUUCAGAGGAAAAUAGUAAAGAUUUACAGGUUUUGAUGAGAAAUGAGAGUCCAUAAUGGAAUUUCCCGAAACAAUGGUUUUGUAUGCGAGUAAGAGAAUCGAAAAUGGUGGUGGAUGUAGUUCAAAUGCUUCACAGUGUGAGAGGUAAGAGAAUGCCAAAUUCUGAUCAGUUGAUCAGGAGAAAAAGAUGAUGUAUCACAGCCAGAUUCAUGCCCACAAGCUCUCGUUAAGCAGUUUCAUGCAACUUUUACCAGCAUUCUGGUCAUUGAACCCCCUUUCAUUGCAUUAUGUUUUCAAACAAGUCGUAAUCAGAUGCCCGAGGACAUUCCAGCAAGUCAAAAAAGAGCACGCUUGAGAAAGAAGCUCGAAACUUAUUUUUAGGUGCUGCUCCCUUGCUGACAUGUCUGUUGGGAACAACUGCAUUGUUUGCAAGAAUUCUCCCGUCUUCAUUGAUGAUUUCAUUGAAUUGAAGUUGGGUUUCUUAGGAAAUUGGUUUGGGAUCUGUUUGAUAGUAUUUUGAUGUUUGUUGAGUUGAAUUAUUGAAGAAGCGAUGACCAAGAAAAGGAGGCGGUUGAUUGAUAAACAGCCUGAUGACAGUAGUGGAGGUGAUUCGAGUGGGAGCCAUGAUCUUGAAACACAACUCAAGUUUGAUGGUAAGGAUUCCAAAGAACUAAGUGGGUUUUUCUUUUUCACUUUCCGU